AACUGGAAGAAGUCAGCUUGACCUCUGGAAUACUAAGAUAUGAAGGAAAAGAAGUCCUCAGCAAAGAAACACCAGCGUUUGCCUUAACAGCAGGGAGGACAAGAAGGACAUUUGUAGCAAGGGCUCCCUUGCGAUAUCACGCUAACCUCAUCGAAUACCGACACCC
rnacentral:lncRNA from 1 species